rnacentral:rRNA from 1 species
ACGACUGCUAAGACUGGAUAGGAAGAUAAAAGGCAUCUUGUAUCUUUUAAAAGACCUAGUUAAUAGGUAUGCUUUAGGAGGGGCUUGCGCCAUAUUAGUUAGUUGGUAGGGUAAUGGCCUACCAAGACGAUGAUGUGUAGCUGGACUGAGAGGUUGAACAGCCACAUUGGGACUGAGACACGGCCCAAACUCCUACGGGAGGCAGCAGUAGGGAAUUUUCGGCAAUGGAGGAAACUCUGACCGAGCAACGCCGCGUGAAUGACGAAGUACUUCGGUAUGUAAAGUUCUUUUAUCGAGGAAGAAAAGCAAAUGGCGAACCAUUUGUUUGCCGGUACUUGAUGAAUAAGCCCCGGCUAAUUAUGUGCCAGCAGCCGCGGUAAGACAUAAGGGGCAAGUGUUAUCCGGAAUUAUUGGGCGUAAAGGGUGCGUAGGCGGUCUAGUAAGUCAGUGGUGUAAUGUCAACGCUUAACGUUGUCCGGCUAUUGAAACUGCUAAACUUGAGUUAGAUAGAGGCGAGUGGAAUUCCAUGUGCAGCGGUAAAAUGCGUAAAUAUAUGGAGGAACACCAGAGGCGUAGGCGGCUCGCUGGGUCUUAACUGACGCUGAGGCACGAAAGCGUGGGGAGCAAACAGGAUUAGAUACCCUGGUAGUCCACGCCGUAAACGAUGAGUACUAAGUGUCGGGUUAAACCGGUACUGAAGUUAACACAUUAAGUACUCCGCCUGAGUAGUACGUACGCAAGUAUGAAACUUAAAGGAAUUGACGGGACUCCGCACAAGCGGUGGAUCAUGUUGUUUAAUUCGAAGAUACCCGAAAAACCUUACCAGGUCUUGACAUGUUUUUGCAAAAUGAUAGUAAUAUCGUGGAGGUUACCAGAAACACAGGUGGUGCAUGGUUGUCGUCAGCUCGUGUCGUGAGAUGUUAGGUUAAGUCCUAAAACGAGCGAAACCCUUAUCGUUAGUUGCCAGCACGUUAUGGUGGGGACUUUAACGAGACUGCCAAUGAUAAAUUGGAGGAAGGUGAGGAUCACGUCAAAUCAGCAUGCCCCUUAUGACCUGGGCUACAAACGUGAUACAAUGGCUGUUACAAAGGGUAGCUGAAACGCAAGUUCUUGGCCAAUCCCCAAAAACAGUCCCAGUCCGGAUUGAAGUCUGCAACUCGACUUCAUGAAGUUGGAAUCGCUAGUAAUCGCGAAUCAGCAUGUCGCGGUGAAUACGUUCACGGGGUUUGUACACACCGCCCGUCA